UGUACUCAGGGCUAGAAAGGAAUUGAUACUAUGGAUGGCCAAGGGGAGGCCGCCUCCCACCCCCACCAUGCAGCCUCCUGGCUUGGGCUUCCUCCUCCCCUGCCUCCCUUCUACCUUUCAUCAAAUUCAGCAGCUAUUUGAGGUACCAAGCAGGCACUGUGGGGGAACACAGAUGCACAGGUGAUACCGAGCAAUCCCGAAAUCCCAGGCUGCCCCAGGACUGUGGCCUCCCUGGGGAAGCAGCAGUGUCCCAGCAAGGACUAUCUGAGGGAGGAAGGGGAAAGAGCCUGAGCCAGGCGGGGCCCUCCUACCACUGACAGGAUUGCGGCAGGGAGAUGCUGCUGCCCUCCGGUGGCAAUGAGCUGCCCUGCAACUCAGACCACGUGAUUUCUGAGAACAGGCGUCCCUGGAGAAGAACUGAAACUUAGGGUGGGGACCGUAGAAAGGGGCGGAGAGAUCCGGAAGCUGCCUAACCUGGAGCUGAGCUGAGGUCAGCUGAGCCCUGGGACAGCCUGCACAGCAGCUCAGGAUGGCAUCAGGCAGGGCACGCAGCACCCGAAAGCUCCGGAACUGGGUGGUGGAGCAACUGGAGAGCGGGCUCUUCCCAGGGGUGUGCUGGUAUGAUGCAGCGAAGACAAUGUUCCAGAUUCCCUGGAAGCACGCAGGCAAGCAGGACUUCCGGGAGGAUCAGGAUGCUGCUUUCUUCAAGGCCUGGGCAAUGUUUAAGGGAAAGUACAAGGAGGGGGAUGCAGAAGGCCCUGCUAUCUGGAAGACUCGUCUGCGCUGUGCCCUCAACAAGAGUCCUGAAUUUGAGGAGGUUCCUGAGAAUGGCCAUAGGGAUGGGGCUGAGCCUUACAAGGUGUACCGGCUGCUGCCACCAGGAACCCUCCCUGCCCAGCCAGAGACCCAGAAAUCACCAUUAAAGCGACCCCACAGUUCUGUGUCCUCAGAGAGGGAAGGUUCCACAAAGAACUGCACACUCAGUCCCUCCUCACUCCAGGACCCCCUCAGAAAGGAGGAGGUGGGGGCCAGUGGGGAAGCAGGCCAUUCAGACUCUGGGAGCAGCAGGAGCAGCCUGGAGCCUCGGGAAGGUACAGACACACCUGAGGCCCCUUUCCAAGGAGAUCAGGUGUCCCUGGAGCUUCUGCCUCCUCCAGACUCAGAACCUCGUGCUGACCAGGUGGGCCUCUGGGAAGAGGCACUGGUGCAGCUGGCCGAUCUCUGUCCGCAGACUACUCGCUGUUGCUUACCUUCAUCUACAAUGGGCACGUGGUGGGGGAGGCCCAGGUGCAGAGCCUGGACUGCCGCCUUGUGGCUGAGCCCUUGGGCUCCCAGUGCGGAAUGGAGCAGGUGGUAUUUCCCAAGCCUGGUCCACAAGAGCCUACCCAGCGCCUGCUCAGCCAACUCAAGAGAGGUGUCCUGGUGGCCAGCAACUCCCGAGGCCUCUUCGUCCAGCGUCUUUGCCCUAUCCCCAUCUCCUGGAACGCGCCCUACUCCCCUCCUGGUCCAGGCCCGCAUCUGCUGCCCAGCAACAAGUGCGUGGAGCUUUUUAGAACUGCCUACUUCUGCAGAGACUUGGCCAAGUACUCCCAGGGCCUGGGCCCACCACCCAAGUUCCAGGUAACACUGAAUUUCUGGGAGGAGAACCCUGGCCCCAGCCACACCCCACAGAGUCUUAUCACAGUGCAGAUGGAGCAGGCCUUUGCCCGACAUUUACUGGAGGAGACACCGGAGGAGCAGGCAGCCACUCUGUCCCUGGUGCAGAGCCUGGGGGACCCACCUUCCUCCCCUCCUCUCUCUUCCUCCUAUCUUUGAAAGACACUCAUUCUCCACGCUAUUGACCUGCCUCACUGGGUGAUAAUUCUCAGUGGUUGUCAGUGAUAGUUACAUCCUUGAACUCCUCGUGUACCCUGGCUGGUGGGGAACUCAACAGUUUUUAUGACUUAUCUUUUUUUUUAAAUUUUGAAGCCCUCUAUAUUCCUCUUUGAUUUCUGAGGAACUGAAUUGGGAAAGUCCAAAUGGUGUGAACUCAGGGGACUCUUCCCCAACCCCAAAGCCAAGCACUUUAUAUUUCUUCUUAGAUUUCACUAAGGAUUUACAAUAAAAUUUUACUGAAGAGGAA